CCAACAUCCGGCUCACACACUGGUAACUGUUGCGUCCUCUCUCUUGUCACCCUUCCUGGCUUUCCGCCACGCUCCACGCACACACGAACACACACGCCUCUGACUGUGCACUCCACGUCCAACACCACAUGUACAUAACAAGAAUCGAUCCAACUGUUAGAGGCUGUGCGCAAUGCGGAUGAAAUUCUUCACAGCCGCGGAGCCGUCACACGGUCGGCGUCCCGUGGGCAAGCCGAGGCAUACCAAGCACUUUAUGCGAAGGACGAGGGGGCGGUGAGCGGAAACGCAUGCCGACAACGGAGCUGCCGCGAACACCGCUGCUCCACAGACACACACGCAUUCCUGCAGGCUCGUCGCACCCCUCACCUACUCAUGUCAGGGCAUGCCUCGCACUGACGCACCACACAGAACAAAGCCGCCCGCGCAACCGUCCAUCUCGCGCCGUCACGCACACAACCAAUCCUCAAAACCAUUUUCAUACAAGACACAAAGUAGCGCAACUGCUGCACUGCUCUCGUGCAGCCCGGUCCACAGCACAUGCCUGACGCCCCUCCCUCUCUCGCGCGGCCGCGCAAGCGGCCGGCGCAGCCACACUACCUAGCUGCUAGCUGUUUUAGCCAGCCCUAUAAAGCCAACAUCAGAAGCUCUCGCAAGGCUCCGAGAAGCUUGCUCAGCUCCGAUUAGCUCACUAGCGCGAUAGCCAGUUGUAGCCAGCUAGUUUAGAAGGCGGCGGAGUCGGGCAGGACGCGGCGCUGCACGGCAAACAGGGCCUCCUCCUUCUUGUAGUCAAAGGGCUUGUAGUUGACCUUCUCGUCGUACACGUGGCACUCGGUGCAGAUGUUCUUCACCACGCGCCAGUUGAAGGUGCACUCGGUCAUGUACUGCAGACGGUAGGGAGAGGGUGGGGUUGCACAGGUGGGUGAGCGGAGCGCGAGAUAUAAGAACAGCCUUUUGUCACGAGCACACACAUGUCGCUACGCCGCAGCAACCCACAACGCGCCCUGGCUUGCCCUUGACUUGGCCGCUGCCCCGCAGCGCAUGCAGCACGCGUGCGGGGACAUCAUCAUGCUCGCUCUCAGCUCCCUCCCCAACCUCCCCGCCACCAGACCGCUGUACACUAUUAUGCAUGCCCUGUGCCUGUGCAUGCCCUGUGUGUGCCGCCUGCUCCGCUCUCACCUGGCCCCAGUUCUCGCGCAGCGACUCGGUCGCCUUGCGCAGGUUGUACCAUGGGAUCUUGGGGGCCACGUGGUGGGGCACGUGCCACGAGAUGUCGUGCGUCAGGAACUCCACCCUGUAGGUUGCGAUUGAGGCGACAGCGUCGGCAACAGCAUGUGGUCAAGCGCAGCGCUGACGGAGUGCACCACCCUACCGCUCCGUCUUUGUAUUCAGACUCCAAGGGAUUCGUUAUUCUUUUCUUGCGCCCUCUCACCAGUUGGGGAAGUCGCAGUGCACGGUGCCCGACAGCUGGGCCUUGGCGGCGUUCCACUCCUCCGCCUUCUUGAAGGGGAUGUGCGGCGCGGUGUGGUGCACCACGGUGAAGGUGCUCAUCCAGAAGUGGUAGCCCAGCCACGGCAUCAGCCAGUACUUCACGAAGGCCCAAGGGCCGCCGAAGUACAGCAGCGCCGGGAAGGCCGUCGCCAUGAAGCCGUACAC
rnacentral:lncRNA from 1 species